GACAGAGGUGCCAAGCGUUAGGCGGAAUCACUGGGCUUAAAGCGUGUGUAGGCGGAUAUCUAAGUACCUUGUGAAAUCCCACGGCUCAACCGUGGAACUGCUUGGUAUACUGGUCGUCUUGAGCCAUCUAGGGGCUGUCGGAACAAAUGGUGGAGCGGUGAAAUGCGUAGAUAUCAUUUGGAACGCCAAAGGUGAAAACAGACAGCUGGGGAUGUGCUGACGCUGAGACACGAAAGCCAGGGGAGCGAACGGG
rnacentral:rRNA from 1 species